AGUGAACGCUGGCGGUAGGCCUAACACAUGCAAGUCGAACGGCAGCACAGUAAGAGCUUGCUCUUACGGGUGGCGAGUGGCGGACGGGUGAGGAAUACAUCGGAAUCUACUUUUUCGUGGGGGAUAACGUAGGGAAACUUACGCUAAUACCGCAUACGACCUACGGGUGAAAGCAGGGGAUCUUCGGACCUUGCGCGAUUGAAUGAGCCGAUGUCGGAUUAGCUAGUUGGCGGGGUAAAGGCCCACCAAGGCGACGAUCUGUAGCUGGUCUGAGGGGAUGAUCAGCCACACUGGAACUGAGACACGGUCCAGACUCCUACGGGAGGCAGCAGUGGGGAAUAUUGGACAAUGGGCGCAAGCCUGAUCCAGCCAUACCGCGUGGGUGAAGAAGGCCUUCGGGUUGUAAAGCCCUUUUGUUGGGAAAGAAAAGCAGCAGGUUAAUACCCCGCUGUUCUGACGGUACCCAAAGAAUAAGCACCGGCUAACUUCGUG
rnacentral:rRNA from 1 species